AAAGUCGUAACAAGGUUUCCGUAGGUGAACCUGCGGAAGGAUCAUUAACACGAAACUCCACGUUUCAUACCAAACCUGUGGUCUUGUAAACUUUCAAGUUCUCUUUAUUGCAGAACUUUUUUUUAUAUUACAAAAUACCCCUUGUAUCAUCUAUUGACUGAACCAAUUGGAAGUUUGAGUACCCUAGGGCGCUCGCUUCUAAGAUAUUACGAAACUCUGAACAACUCUAAGCAACGGAUAUCUUGGUUCUC
rnacentral:misc_RNA from 1 species